GGGGAUGUGAUUUUAAUAGCUUCUUUU
rnacentral:misc_RNA from 1 species